UGGGGAAUAUUGGACAAUGGGGGGCAACCCUGAUCCAGCAAUGCCGCGUGUGUGAAGAAGGUCUUCGGAUUGUAAAGCACUUUCGACGGGGACGAUGAUGACGGUACCCGUAGAAGAAGCCCCGGCUAACUUCGUGCCAGCAGCCGCGGUAAUACGAAGGGGGCUAGCGUUGCUCGGAAUGACUGGGCGUAAAGGGCGUGUAGGCGGUUUACACAGUCAGAUGUGAAAUCCCCGGGCUUAACCUGGGAGCUGCAUUUGAUACGUGUAGACUAGAGUGUGAGAGAGGGUUGUGGAAUUCCCAGUGUAGAGGUGAAAUUCGUAGAUAUUGGGAAGAACACCGGUGGCGAAGGCGGCAACCUGGCUCAUGACUGACGCUGAGGCGCGAAAGCGUGGGGAGCAAACAGGAUUAGAUACCCUGGUAGUCCACGCUGUAAACGAUGUGUGCUAGAUGUUGGGUAACUUUGUUAUU
rnacentral:rRNA from 1 species